UACGGAGGGUGCGAGCGUUGUCCGGAAUCACUGGGCGUAAAGGGCGCGUAGGCGGCUGGGGAAGUCGGUGGUGAAAGCUCGUGGCUCAACUACGAGUCGGCCAAUGAUACUCCUCGGCUCGAGCACUGUAGAGGCAGGUGGAAUUCCGGGUGUAGCGGUGGAAUGCGUAGAGAUCCGGAAGAACAUCGGUGGCGAAGGCGGCGACCUGGUCCAUUACUGACGCUGAGGCGCGACAGCGUGGGGAGCAAACAGG
rnacentral:rRNA from 1 species